rnacentral:lncRNA from 1 species
CUUUGGGUUUUGAGUUAUAAGCCAAAAACUGCAUUUUACCCCAUGUUCUAUUUUUAGCCAUGGCGGCCAUCUUGGUUAGAUGGCCGGGUCACCGGACACAUUUUUUAAACUACUAACCCAAAAGAUGAUUGUGGCCAAGUAGUUUCAGAGGAGAAGAUUUUUGUAAAAGAUUACUAAGAUUUACGAAAAAUGGUUAAAAAUUGACUAUAAAGGGCAAUAACUCCUAAAGGGGUCAACUGACCAUUUCAGUC